AGUUACCUCAAAAGAUACCCAUACAAAAUAUGGCUCAAUUGCACUAAAAUUUUAGAAUUUAAACUCAAAACUUAAUGAUACAACAAAAUGGGUAAAAACAUAGUUGAAAACUACAAAGAACAGUACAUGAUGAAAAAGUGUACCAAUCAAUGGUUUGCUUCAUCUGUGCCUCACAUAACCUCAUCAACGAUGGAAGAAGAGCCAACACCUUCAAGAUAUGAAAAGCAAAAUUUCGUAAGAGAAGGCAUAAACAUCAAGUGAAACAAUUAUCACCGAUAUAAAUAUAAAAACUUACCACUUCGACAAGGUAAAAGCCUUUUGCGAGACCUAUAAGUGAUAUACCCUAGACUGGUGAAAAAAAUGUCUUCAUCUUAUUUUUCUACAAUAUGAAAUUAAAUUAGCAACUACAUCAAUUUGAGUUCAACAAUACACUAGAUAUAUGAUCAGUUCGGACCAGUUUAUACGCUGAUAUAAGUAGAACAUGGUACAAGUGAAAAGCAUCAGGGGAGCAGAGAAAACAUCAAAGGAAAUUACAAGGUGUUGCAGCUGGCAGUGAAGCAACCAGCAGGGAUGGCGCGCCCGGGCGAACGACGCACAGGACAGAAGGGCGGCGGCCGGGAGCCAGAGAGCAGGGGGAAAGUGGGGAGGGGGUUGGGGGGCGGAGGCAUCGCCGGCGGCGCGAGUGCUGGAGUCUGGAGAUUUGAUCCUGUGUGUGUGCGACUCGGCGGCGGCCGCACGAGCGCUGCGUCUCCUUUUUUUCAGCAACAGCACUGCAUUCCUCUCCCUCAUUUUUUAGAAAAACGUUCCUCUGCCUCGUGCGUGCGAGUAGAUCGUGGGGUAGCCUUGCCUCGUUCGUGCGUCCGUUUCUGGUAGGACAGGGCAUCAAGGCUUUGGGCUUUCUUUCGUUUACUGGGCUGCACCCCGGGCCUGCAGAAAAAGCUAUAUAAUUGUAGCCUGUUAAAUUUUGCAAGCCCCGGGCCUGGGCCCUGGGUGCCCGGGGCCCAGCUCCGCCCCUGCAGGGAGAGGAGGAGUUGCCCAGCCAGCCAUGGAGUAACUGAAGGUCAUGGUGCACCCUCCCGCUCUCUGUUUGGAGUAGGUUAUUAAUUUCAGAGAUAGAUGUAAUUAGUCAGAUGUUAAUUCAGUUAAAUUCAGACAUACUCCUAAAUUCAGUUAAUUCAGUUACGCACACAAAUUUCAGUUAAUGCUUGCAGUAAGUUGGAGUACAUCAAAUCUGCCUGAAUGUGCAGGAGUAGGACAAGCAAAUCUGCUUGAAUGUGUGUUUAUUGGGAAUCCAGCUAGUGUGCUGAUAGUGUAAUCCAGCUAGUGUACUGAGCUCUGUUUAAAAACACUUUGCUGAAUCUAUAUGCACCAUGUAUCCGAAAUGUCAUUUUCUUGGAUUACACAAUCAGAAAUGUCAAGUUUGUUCCAGGAGUAGAAAGCAAGUUAAUGUCUGAACGAAGUUACAGGUGCUAGCGUAGAUUCGUAUUGUUGGUCGUAUGCAAAGUUGAGAAACUUGAGUAUGCAAACUUGAGUAACUUUGUCCCAGGAGUAAAAAGCAAGUUAAUGUCAAGUUUCUUACUGGAGUAUGCUUUAUGCUGUGAACAUUUUUAAACUGACCAUAUAUGUCAAGGAAUUUACUAUCCUUUUGUAUGCUUUACGUUUAAACAUACCAUAUAAUCAAAUUCUGUAGUUUGAUCCCUGCAAAACAAUAGUUACUCCUAGGAGUUUUUUAGAUGUGCCAGUUGAUUAGGUUGCUCAUAUCCUGCAUCUGACUACCAGUCAGAAUCCUUAUGUGUGGGAGUAGUAAUUAUCGACAAAACAGAGUAACUUUGUUUUACUCUUUCAGUGUAAGAGAGUUCCACGUUCUCAAAAAUAAUAAGAGGGUUACAGUAAACAACUGUGUCAUUUAUUUUAAGCUAUCCGCCUUGCAGGAGAAACGAUUUCUGCCUUCAUCAAUUGUUGAGCAACAAGGACAGUGAUCAAGCAAGCAGUGAGUGGAUGAAUCAUCUGGUAAGGGAGUGCGCAGGGCUUCAGUCAAUUGGGGUAAGCAAUUUCUGUUGAUGCUGCCGUGAGGUUAAUGUGUACACAUGGAAAGAUUGACCAAACUGCUGGAAAGAGAUAGGAGUAAGUUGGAAAGGAAGGAUUAACCUCUGCCGGUAUUCAUGGAUAACUCUUGGGAAGAUAACAUUAAGAACUCAUUUGAGCUCUUUGUUCUUCCCAUAAAAUCAGAAGGUUCUGUUGAUGCUGCCGUGAGGUUAAUGUGUACACAUGGAAAGAUUGACCAAACUGCUGGAAAGAGAUAGGAGUAAGUUGGAAAGGAAGGAUUAACCUCUGCCGGUAUUCAUGGAUAACUCUUGGGAAGAUAACAUUAAGAACUCAUUUGAGCUCUUUGUUCUUCCCAUAAAAUCAGAAGGCAGAUGUAAUUCUUUCUUUCCACACUCGAUUCCUUCAUCAGUGUCGAUGAAUUAUAUAACUCCAUAUUCUGUAUGUACAUAUAAAUGCAGUUAGUGCUUCCUAAAUUCAGUAUAUUUUGAGUGUGGAGUAGAAGUGUAAUGAGUACUCCAGUAUAUAGUGUAUUUUGGAUUACACUAGAUAUAAAAUCAGGCCUUCAGUACACUAGUUCACCAGCUAGUGUUUCAGUACUUCGUUCUGCAGGAUUACUUACUCCUACAGGUCUGCAGGAUUAUUUUGGGUGCUACUGAAUUUAUAGUGCAUAUAAAUUUAUUGAUCUCAAAUGGUGUAUUGACCUCAUUCAUCAGGAUACAUCGUUUUUUUAGAAAGUUCUUUAAAUAUCCAAGUAUUGAUCUCAAAUGGUGUGUUGAAUUUGUUUCCAUUGACUCACAGAAAUUUUAGGCAUGUUUGCCAUUGGACAAAUGGUGUAUAACAAUGAUCAUCAUCUCUAAAUUGGAUAAUUGGACAACAUCAGCAGGAGGACAGCAACAACAACAUUUUCUCAUGCAUUACAGACUAUUGUACCUAAAAGCUUCGAUGAAUUCUCCCAAUUCUACUGUAAGGCGAAAACUGAUAAGAAUUGGGAGCAGCGAGGAGUACCUGGCGAGGACUAGGCGGGGGAGUAGCGAGGACCGGGCUGGGCAGCGUGGUUGAGAGGACCAGGUUGGUGCAGCGAGGACCAAAUUGGGAGCGGCGGCGGCGGCAGCGGCAGCCAGGCUGGGGCGGCGGCGAUCAAAUUGGGAGCGGUGGCGACCAAAUUGGGUAAGAACGACGUGGAAGAGACUGGCGAAGGAGGAGGAGGUGGAGGGCGGAGGAGGAGGUGGCCGGACUAGCAGCUGGAGGAGGUGGAGGGCGGAGGAGGAGGUGGCCGGCCUGGCAGAGGAAGACGACGACUCUCGUUUUCAGAUCAGGGGUAUUUUUGUACUUUUGCUUGUUUUCACCUGGUCGGAAAAAAACCCCAGCGACAACUAUUUCGGAACGGAGGGAGUAGCACUAAGACGUUGUGUGACCAAAAAUAAUUACUACACAUAUUUUUCAGCAUUUCCAGCAAGUGCGUAGGUAUCACUGGCUGCAUUUGUGUGCAUUUGGUUCGUAAACAUCUCUAUUGUUAAAAGGGAGUCUGUUUGGUUGCUCGCAUUAAA